rnacentral:rRNA from 1 species
GCGACGGCUCUGUAAAACAGUCGUGAUUUAUGAGGGCGCAUGACAGUUGGAUAACUGUGGAAAACCUAGAGCUAAUACAUGUAGAAAUGUCCUGCCUUUAUCGAAGGGACGCAUUCAUCAAAUUAAAGCCAUCCUCGCUUCGGUGAGAAACGAGAUGAAUCUGGGUGAAUUAUCGAUUGUACGGCUCUGAGAGCUGACGACUAUAAUUGUAAGCGUCUGACCUAUCAACUUUUGAUGGUGGUAUAUUUUACUGCCAUGGUUGUAACGGGUAACGGGGAAUCAGGGUUCGAUUCCGGAGAGAGAGCCUGAGAAACGGCUGUCACAUCUAAGGAAGGCAGCAGGCGCGCAAAUUACCCAAUCCCCGAUCGGGGAGGUAGUGACGAGAAAUGACAGUGCCGUAAUCAGAUGAUUCGGCUACUGAAUUGAGAACGAUGAAAGAAUGUUAUCGAAUAUCUAUUGGAGGGCAAGUCUGGUGCCAGCAGCCGCGGUAAUUCCAGCUCGAAGAGCGUCUGUUAAUGUUGCUGCGCUUGAAACGCUCGUCGUUGAAUCUCUGGCAAUUGUCUACGGACACUUUUAUGGUGCUACCGUAGGAAAGUGCCUUUUUGUAUCUAUUCGUCGUUGAUUCACUUAAUUGUGUGUCACGUUCGAGAGCCACUUUCACUUUGGAGAAAUCAGUGUGCUCAUAACAGGCUUAUGCCUGCAUAUAACUGCAUGGGAUGAUGAAAUUGGGCCUUUGACUCGUUUCGUUGGUUUACGAUUGCAAAGGCCAUGAUUAAUCGGGACAGACGGGGGCAUUCGUAUUGCGUCGAUAGAAGUGAAAUUCGGUGACCGCCGUAAGACGAACAAUCGCGAAAGCAUUUGCCAAGAAUGUUUUCAUUAAUCAAGAACGAAAGUUAGAGUAUCGAAGACGAUUAGAUACCGUCCUAGUUCUAACUGUAAACGAUGCCAACCAGGGUUUCGUCAAAGCUCAACUGCUUGACGAGCACCCUCCGGGAAACCUGAGUAAUCGGGUUCCGGGGGGAGUAUGGUUGCAGAAUCGAAACUUAAAGGAAUUGACGGAAGGGCACACCAGGAGUGGAGCCUGCGGCUUAAUUUGACUCAACGCACGAUAGCCGACUCGGUCCGAACACUUGAAGGAUUGACAGACUGAAAGCUCUUUCUUGAUUCAGUGGGUGGCGGUGCAUGGCCGUUCGUUGUUGGUGAAGUGAUUUGUCUGGUUUAUUCCGAUAACGAACGAGACUCUGGCCUAUUAACUAGCGUAACGUUUUUUUACGUUAUUGAUUUGCUUCUUAAAGGGACAAGUGCUUUCGAAGCACGCGAAAAAGAGCAAUAACAGGUCUGUGAUGCCCUUCGAUGUUCGAGGCUGCACGCGCGCUACAAUGGAGAGCCUAGAACGCACCAUGCGUUUUGAUAAAAAUGCAGAACCGUGAGAGGCCUCCGUUAUUGGGAUCGGAGCUUGAAAUUAUUCCUCGUCAACGAGGAAUUUCUAGUAAGCACGAGUCAUUACCUCGUGCUGAUUAAGUCCCUGCCCUUUGUACACACCGCCCGUCGCUACUACCGAUCGAACGGUUCGAUGAGGUCUUUUGACUGUCGUGACGUGGGUGUUUCAUUUACGUUGCAAUUUAUGAAAGCUGAUCGAGUUGGACCGUUAGAGGA